CGUUUUUACUUUUCACUUGUCAUGUAGGUGUGUCUGUGGAAAACCAAAGAUGACCAAAUCAAAACUUGGCCUGUUUUAGCUGUUUUAUUCUGACAGUUUUAAUUUCAAUGUUUUAUUGUCUGACAGAUCCACCUUGUCUUAGACUUUCUUAGCUUUGUUAAUAUUGGGAUUUUUAAGGAGAUUCAAUAUUUGAUUUUUUUUUUUUCGUUGUUCAGUACAUAUUUUAACAGUAUACAUAAACAAUUUGUAUUAGUCUAUCACUUAUGUUUUAGGUGUUAAGACUUCAUAUAUUGAAUUGAUGUCAUUUUCUGCCAUACAAAUUUAAAAUGCCAUAUUUUUAAAACUAAGUAAGCCCCAGAGUUUUGUAAGUCACAGUGUUUCAUUAUUUUGUUCCUAAUACUCAUGUUUAACUUCAUAAUGAUUAUUGAAUAAUUGUUUUAGCUGGUGAACUUUUUUUUUUUUUUACUUUAUUAUUGUAAAUAUAUAUGAAAAAAAAAAUAUAUAUAUAUAUCUAUUUGUCAACUGUAUAUUGUUAUUGAAGGUCUGCAUAUUGUUUCAUACCUGAAGUUUGUUAGAAUAUAGCUAUAAAUAAUAGUUCUAGGCCAAGACCAGUAUGUUCUGAUGGUGAAACCUGGAUCUAAACUAUCUCGAGAGAUCAUAUUAUUGUUGGUUUAUUUCUUGUCUCAUUGUCUCUGGCAUCUUCAAAUUAUGUUAUAGCUGUCUUGUUGUUCUUAGCUAGUCAUUAUUUACUUCUUUUUCUUUAAAUUAUCAAGCAAUCUUUAGUUGCAGUUCAAUUUGAAUUCUUGUAGUGUUCUUUCAUCUGAUCGGGAUGAAGUAUUUUCAGACUCUUCUUGCUCUGACCAUCAUCCAUUAUACUUGUACUGUUCACCUCUUUGUUGAAGCCUUUUGUAAAGUUUUGAUUGGAUGUCAUCUCUCAUGUGACAUAACAUCACUGCCUCACUUUGAAUAGCCAGCCUUGACAUUGUGAGAGUGGUGUAUCUCUUCAACCACCCCCACUUACGUAAUGGAUCUGUUGAAGUGAUGUUGCUUUGAGAGACAUUUUAUCAUUGCUAUGUUCCCUUAGCCAAUUCUAGUUCAGUGGUAUUUGACCUAUCAACAUUGGAAAAUUAUACACCUACUAAUUGUUCCUUACAGUCAGUGUUUUUGACUUCAUUUUCUGGUAUCAUAAUUUAACAUACUUACAAAGGCCAGCUAGAUGUAAAUACUGUACAGUUACUAUGAUUGGAUUGGUGACAUUUCAGUCAACAGAAAUUGCAAUAUAUUAACAUGAAGAAGAAAAACAUUUAUCAUACACAAAAUGUAACAUUGAGUUAUCAAAUGUCUCUCUAAUGUAAAUUCAUCUAGUUUUGGAUUUCUAAUGCAUGUACACACAGCAGAAGCUCAACAAAAACAUAUAUUCUAACAUUCUUCAGUUCAGUCAUUAAUUCCUACUAUGGAUUAGUCAGGGAUAAAUUUAAACUUAACUCUCAAUGGUGCAAGUUUAUUUUAUAUUGCUUCUACGCUAAUCAAGAUAAAGGCUCAGAACCAGAUUAUAUGUAACAUCAUGGUGCUUGACGGAGCAGCUUGUUAGUAUGUAUAAAAUCCCAAAUAUACAAA